rnacentral:rRNA from 1 species
GAUCCUACGGGAGGCAGCAGUGGGGAAUAUUGGGCAAUGGGCGCAAGCCUGACCCAGCAACGCCGCGUGAAGGAAGAAGGCUUUCGGGUUGUAAACUUCUUUUGUCAGGGACGAAGCAAGUGACGGUACCUGACGAAUAAGCCACGGCUAACUACGUGCCAGCAGCCGCGGUAAUACGUAGGUGGCAAGCGUUAUCCGGAUUUACUGGGUGUAAAGGGCGUGUAGGCGGGGAGGCAAGUCAGAUGUGAAAACCACGGGCUCAACCUGUGGCCUGCAUUUGAAAAUGUGUUUCUU